UCUUGAAAUAAAAUUAAGAAACUUAUACUUAUAUUUGCUUGUGAAAACGUAUUGAUAUAAAAAUAAUGUACUUAGCUUUAAGCCUUACCUACAACUUUGUCAAGGCAAAGAAGCCGUCCUUUAAAUAAAUAAAAAAACCUGUCAAAAGCUUUUUACGUCAUCCUGUCAUUAGCUCACUCCAUCACUGUAAAAAUUCAUUCACAAUUUUCACCGUUUAUUCCUCAGUGAAGAUUUUCACUUUACAAUUUGCCCGCCAAAAUUACAAGGCUGAAUGUACACUUCCUUUUUACAAGCUUAAUAAGCGUCGAAGGGGCAGCCCUAUUAAUUAGGGCUGUCGCAAGGGUCAAAACAAGAACGAUUAAUUUUGUGGAUCGCUUCUAAGGGAGUUUGGGAGGUAAGGUUGUUACAUAAUGUGUAUUAGCUAUAUCAAGAUUGAGGUUUGGAAACUGUUGUUUUAUUUGAGUUUGACAAUUUUUAAUUAUCUUUUUAGAAAUAAGUUUUCUUUGUAUCCUUAGAAUAACAGCCGUAUUACAAUCAAAAACCUAACAAGGUAUGUAAUUUUCGUUCUAACUGUCAGAAUUGAAUAUGCCUUUUCUGAUAAUAUAAUCUAUUAUUCAAGUUAAAUAAAAGUGAUUGAUUUUUAACAGAAUUAAACAUUAACCUGGCUCAUAUCUUGACUACUUCACCCAACCGUGAUAGUAUACCAAGAUACCAAUACCAGUUAAAAAAAAAAAACUCAUGUCCCGAUUACAAAUAAUGUUGAUUAAAAACGCACUCUCAUUACGUCAAAGGUCAUGAGGAUCACAUGUAAAUAUUGUAUCUAUAUGAAUAGUAUCGAUCGGCAGCCCUAGCCGCCCCUCCAUUAGUCUGGCUACCUGUCGGCCCGUCGCGCCUGCCGUCUGCUGACGUCACACUCCAUUGAGCAUAGGGUGGCAGAUGGAAAUGGGACUUUGGUAUGUUGAUAAGUUGAUCGAAUCGAUCAAAUGUUAAUAGACAAAUGUUUUGAGUCUGAGUGUCUUGGGUAUGUGAUAUGAAUGUUUGUGAAACCUCCCACGAUAAAAGGGUCAAACUAAUUAGCGCGGAAGUCAUUGCUUUAGUUAUACGAGAGUUGUUACUAAAAUGACAUGGAUGUAGUGACUUUUAUUUGUCAGUCAGACAGACAGGAGCGAGUCAAUAGCGAUAGCAUUGGAAUAAAUUAACUUAUUUUCCCGAGAAUGACAAUAAUGCACUUCCUCCUACUUCCCUGUGAUCUCUGGUCACCCCUUCAUAUUGCCAGCGCCAGACUAGGGGAGCUCUCGAUAGAUAUUGUAAUACAUUAUUGUGAAUGUUUCUGUGUUUGCUGACAUAGAUUGAAAUCGAGAAGAAUUCUCAUUUCCAAUACAGGUUUAAAUCUUUGUUCGAUUUUCAUGGAAAUGGAAUAUUAUCAGGAUGGCGGAGAAAAUUGUUUAGUAUAAAAGAGACCUAGAGAAAAUCUAGAUAUUUUUGUUUAUAAACUUUUUAUUUUGAACAAAAACUCGUUUCCUUAUAAACGUUUUUGGACUAGAGCCAUAUAUGCCAGCGGAACCAUGUGUAACUAUAUGCUUCCAAAUAAAUGGAAUCUUGUAAAACGCUCUUUAUUUAACCAAGCAUUAAAAUGACUACAUACAGGUAUUUCGCUACGACGUGUACACACAAACCUACAAAACAGUAUAUUACAUUGGUGUUCAAUCGAUUGAUUCAACCAACACAGGAUUAAUAGCUGACUGGACUGAUUGAUUGGAAGCAACACGCAAUCGUGGCGUCACUCGAUUAGAGAUAGCUACGUGUUGACCACAGCAGAAUGCAAAAGUGUGAUGCCGCGAGGGUUCUUAAGAUGGUAAUCACAGUUUAUUUUUAUUUCAAUGGCGGGGCACUUGUGUCUAUUUUGCAUUGAUUUCCCUUCGGACAGGCAAUGAUUACGCUCGGAUUAAAGUGAAG